CCUACGGGGAGGCAGCAGUGAGGAAUAUUGGUCAAUGGGCGCGAGCCUGAACCAGCCAAGUAGCGUGAAGGAUGACUGCCCUACGGGUUGUAAACUUCUUUUAUAAAGGAAUAAAGUGAGGCACGUGUGCCUUUUUGUAUGUACUUUAUGAAUAAGGAUCGGCUAACUCCGUGCCAGCAGCCGCGGUAAUACGGAGGAUCCGUGCGUUAUCCGGAUUUAUUGGGUUUAAAGGAAGCGUAGAUGGGUUGUUAAGUCAGUUGUGAAAGUUUGCGGCUCAACCGUAAAAUUGCAAUUGAUACUGGCAGCCUUGAGUACAGUUGAGGUAGGCGGAAUUCGUGGUGUAGCGGUGAAAUGCUUAGAUAUAAGGAAGAACACCAGUGGCGAAGGCGGAUUACUGGACGAUAACUGACGGUGAGGCGCGAAAGCGUGGGGAGCAAACAGGAUUAGAUACCCGGGUAGUC
rnacentral:rRNA from 1 species